CUAAGGAAAAACGCAAAGCACAUUAGGGGAACUUCUUGUUUAGUUUUGAGAGGGUAAGUGGGGCCUUAGCUCAACUUGGAAGAGCGCCUGCUUUGCACGCAGGAGGUCAGCGGUUCGAUCCCGCUAGGCUCCAUUAAAACAGGAUACUAACAGACGGUUCGCUUGCGAAUACUUCUGUAGAAGAUGAUCUAUUUCUAAGAAGUCAGUCUGGAGUUCAACUUCAUAUCUUGUUUAAGACAAGGAAGUCUAUAAAAUCCACUUAGGAUAUGAUAAGUAUCCUAGGAUGGUUCAUUGACAAUUGAAUAGCUAGUAAAAGCCCUAUAGCGCAGCUAUAGGGGAACAAGAAAGAAACCGAGACGUUGAAAAGCCAGAGAAACGAGAAAUAAG
rnacentral:tRNA from 1 species